rnacentral:rRNA from 1 species
UACGGAGGGUGCGAGCGUUGUCCGGAAUCACUGGGCGUAAAGGGCGCGUAGGCGGCCUGAUAAGUAGGGGGUGAAAUCCUGCGGCUUAACCGCAGGGCUGCCUUCUAAACUGUCAGGCUUGAGCACAGUAGAGGCAGGUGGAAUUCCCGGUGUAGCGGUGGAAUGCGUAGAGAUCGGGAAGAACAUCAGUGGCGAAGGCGGCCUGCUGGGCUGUUGCUGACGCUGAGGCGCGACAGCGUGGGGAGCGAUCCGG